CUACAAGGGCAGGUGUACAAAAUAGAUUGGAAAUUAUUGAAAGAUAUUUUUCAUAAUACAUGUCAUCACCCCGAGUUUUAAUUAUUUUAUAAGAAAUGUACACAAUUCUUUGAUAUUGAAGUUAACUCCACCCAUUUGAAAAAAUAAAACUUUUGCUUAUUUAUCAAAAA